rnacentral:rRNA from 1 species
AGCCAUGCAUGCGUGUUCAACGUAAGUGAAACUGCGAACGGCUCAUUAGAGCAGAUAUAUUUUAUUCCGGUGAUCCAAGAUGGAUAACUGCGGAAAUACUGGAGCUAAUACAUGCAACGAAACCCCGACUUCGGAAGGGGUGCAAUUAUUAGUGCAAACCAAUCGUCUUCGGACGUAGUUUGUUGACUCUGAGUAAUGCAGUGAAUCGUCGGUCAAUCCGACGAUGUCCGGAAAAAGUGUCUGCCCUAUCAACUUGAUGGUAGUGUAUUGGACUACCAUGGUUAUCACGGGUAACGGAGAAUCAGGGUUCGACUCCGGAGAGGGAGCCUUAGAAACGGCUACCACAUCCAAGGAAGGCAGCAGGCGCGUAACUUAUCCAUUAUAAAUUAUGAGAUAGUGACUAAACAUAAAAAGACCAUUCCUAACGGAACGGUUAUUUCAAUGAUAGGAGUGUAAAUAUCUCCUAAAGGAACUAGUGGAGGGCAAGUCUGGUGCCAGCAGCCGCGGUAAUUCCAGCUCCACUAGCGUAAAACGUCAUUGCUGCGGUUAAAAAGCUCGUAGUUGAAACUAAGGCUUGUAGUAUGGUUCGUCCUAGACGUUAACUGUACUCUUGUCUGUUUUGCCGGUUUUCCACUUGUGACUUCGGUUCUUGUGGUGGCUGGCGAGUUUACUUUGAAUAAAUCAGAGUGCUCAACACAGGCGUUCGCCUGAAUGUUGUAUCAAGGGAUAAUAGAAGAGGACUUCGGUUCCUUUUAUUGGUUAUUGAACCGUUGUAAUGAUUAAUAGAGACGAUUCGGGGGCAUUCGUACCUCUACGCGACCGGUGAAAUGGGAUGACCGUAGAGAGACGUCCGAAAGCGAAAGCAUUUGCCAAGAACGUUCUCAUUAAUCAAGAACGAAAGUCAGAGGUUCGAAGGCGAUUAGAUACCGCCCUAGUUC